AACAGGAGUUGCGAUUGGUGAUACACAUGAUGUCAUAUGUGAAGUGAUUGGUGUUCCAUUAACAACCCGCCCUCUAUGGUAUGGACCCUUUAAUAGCAUCAUUGGUCCCCAACAAUCAGGCACAGAGAGAGUUUACAUCGAGAACUUGAGUCCUACAGUUACAAAACUUGUCAUCCGUAACCUUCAGCCUGAAGACCAAGGCACAUACAGGUGUGAAGCAGGUCGUGUACAGGUCAUCUACGAACAAUUGACUUCACUAGUUGGCUGUCGAGAACCUUGUCAAAAUGGUGGAACAUGUGCUGGCAGUUUAUGUCGAUGUCUCCCAGGCUAUGGUGGUGAAUUUUGUGCUCAACAAUGUG